AACGAACGCUGGCGGCAGGCCUAACACAUGCAAGUCGAGCGAGGACUUCGGUUCUAGCGGCGGACGGGUGAGUAACGCGUGGGAAUGUGCCCUUCUCUACGGAAUAGCCCUGGGAAACUGGGAGUAAUACCGUAUACGCCCUAUUGGGGAAAGAUUUAUCGGAGAAGGAUCAGCCCGCGUUGGAUUAGGUAGUUGGUGGGGUAAUGGCCUACCAAGCCGACGAUCCAUAGCUGGUUUGAGAGGAUGAUCAGCCACACUGGGACUGAGACACGGCCCAGACUCCCACGGGAGGCAGCAGUGGGGAAUCUUAGACCAUGGGGGCAACCCUGAUCUAGCCAUGCCGCGUGAGUGAUGAAGGCCUUAGGGUUGUAAAGCUCUUUCAGCUGGGAAGAUAAUGACGGUACCAGCAGAAGAAGCCCCGGCUAACUCCGUG
rnacentral:rRNA from 1 species